GAUGUUGUAGAAUAGUCGUUUGUGGAUUUGGUUUCCGGACUGUCGAUCCGGAGGUUGCGGGUUCGAGUCCCGUCACCCUCG
rnacentral:tRNA from 1 species